rnacentral:rRNA from 1 species
UACGUAGGUGGAGAGCGUUGUCCGGAAUUAUUGGGCGUAAAGGGUGCGUAGGCGGCUUUUUAAGUGGGAUGUGAAACCCCCGGGCUUAACCUUGGGAUUGCAUUCCAAACUGGAGAGCUAGAGUGCAGGAGAGGAAAGUGGAAUUCCCAGUGUAGCGGUGAAAUGCGUAGAGAUUGGGAGGAACACCAGUGGCGAAGGCGACUUUCUAGACUGUAACUGACGCUGAGGCACGAAAGUGUGGGUAGCAAACAGG